GCAAAAAGGUCUAUCGAAACCAGUACAUUCCUCACUUGAGCAUCUGCAACGGUGCAAGGUCGUCGACACUGCAAUCGUCAGGUUUCAGUUUCCGUUCAUUAUCAUUUGACGGAGGAGUCAGUCCGUCCAAAUAAGAGAAUGUCCCGAGAUUGUUGGUACAAGAAGGAGAGGAAAAAACAAUGACAUGACGCAUAAUCUAAUCAUAGUUUAAUCACCUUUUUAUUUUUUUUAUUUUUAAAAUGCUGACCAUUUUUAAAGUUGAUACCACCUAACCAUUUAUUUAUCAGCAAAAGGAAGAAAUGUUUGGAAACUUGACUUAUAAAAGAAGAAAUUUGGGUUGUCUUCAUAAUUCCAUAUGAAUGUCUCUUUAUGUCAUGAUUUUUUUUCUUACCAAUUUUUUAGUUUAUGAUUUUCUAAUAUGAAAAGAAUUUAAAAUUUUUAAUCUUUCAAUGUUUAUGUAAAACAUCUUACCACCAUGAUUUUCAAGAUUUUAACUUUUUUAUUAUAUUUAAAUGUGUUUUGAUAUUCCAUUCAAAAGCUCAGUAUAAACUCAAUUUUUAAAUCCUUUUUAAAAUCAUUAAGUCAGAAAUAAACUUAGAAUUAGUAAAUUUGCAGCGUUUUUAUCUAAUGUGUAUUAUUUACUUCUCGAAUAGGUGUUCUGGUUUGGGUUUAUCCUAGUGAUUCAUUGGAAGUGUAUGUUAUUUAGUGUCACAAUAAUUUGCUUGCUUGUGUAUGUGUUUAUUGUAUUGUAAUAUUUCUCUUUGUCAUACAUAUAUCUUUACUUAUAAAUAAUAUGUAGUAAAUAAAUAUAUAUGUUUAUAGUAAAUUAACUCUAUCAAAUGAUUAAGAGUUAAAUUUACAAUUGCUGAGGCCUCCCGGUGAAGAGAAUCUCCUAAUGGGAUUUCUCACAAAGCUGUCGUUGCAGCACUUAUUCUUUGCUUUUGAAUGUAGCUUGUCUGCUUCAAAUGAUUAAUAUUGUUGUCCAAGGGUGUUAUGUUACCUUGAAUCAAAAUCGUUGGAUUGUUAUAAAAUGUUAAUGAUAAGUAAGGAAUUUAAAUUAUUAAAAUAUGUGUACUUAUAUGCCUAUUCUGCUGCUCUGGAAAACUGCAUCUUUAAACAGAUAUUUAAAAAAUAUAUAAGCAAGUUCAAAUUAAUACACAUUUUUAUCAACUGAUAUGUUAAAAUGCAAUAUUUCUGACUAUUAAUAAAUACAACUGCUUUACUCCUAAAUUAUUUCACCAUAUCUUACAAAAUAACUGCACAGUUAUUGCACUCUGGUUAUCAAAUAUUUGCUACUCCAAAAAUGUUUCAGUGUAAAAUUGUCUAAUAAAUACAUUUUGUCAAAUUAUUUUACUUUAUACUGUCCAAAAAUUAUGAAUUACUGCCAUUAACACAUGUGAAAUUAUGCCAUCAACAUCUGUGAUAGUAAACAAAUAUGGCUGCAUACCACAGCUCUGUUAACUAUCUAGAACUGUUGUGAGAGUCAAUAAAAUGCCUUUAGAGUAUCAACUCUUUUGUACAUUUUAAGUGGAUGGAAGCACCACUUUCAACUGAUAGAAGAAUGAGUGAAACCUUACCAUUAUUAAUUAAUUCAAAAUCAAAAUAUUUAUAUAUUUAUUCAAAAUUGUCCAUUUCAGAGAAAAUCAGUUUUCUUUCAUGAUAGUUGUCAAUCUAUUGGAUUAUUUCAUUGAAAUUUUAACAAAUUAAAAAUGUAAUAAUUACUAUGAAAUAUUUUUCAUAUAGUUGAUAUAAUAAAAGUUUGGAUGACAGUAUUAAAGUGAAUACAAAUUUAAUAAAUUUCUAAAAAUUCUAAGAUUUUUAAAUGUUAUUUUAAGGUUUCACUAUGAAUGGUAGUAGAAUGGAUUACGAGAUUGCAUAGGUUGGAAUACACUGCCAGGUCGCUGACUCAUCCAAUUUGGUGUCUGAAACAGUGGUACUUCACAAGCAUAAAUAAAAAGACUCAUUUGAAAUAACUUUGCUUUAUUACCAUCUUGUUCUAGAGCACUAGCCUUAAUAAAAAAGGUGUUAUUUCAUAAGCAUUAUUUAAAUGACUCAUUUGAAACAACUGUACUGUGUUAUUUAAUCUUGCACUAGCAGCAGCAGUUUACUAAUGAAAUAGUAGUACUUCAGGAGAAUCAAAUAAAUGAAUCACUUGAAACAAGUUUGCUGCAAUAUUUACCUUGAUCUAGAAUUGCACAUUAACAUUUCUGCAUAUGAUAUAUAACAUAAAUAAUCCUUACAUAUUGAGAUUAAAACCAUUCUCAGGAGUAUUAGAUGUUAGAUCUUUAACUUGCUGAUCUGAUCAAGGUAUUUGAAGAAUAUUUAUGUAAUAUUCAUAUUCCGAAAUGAAGAAAACAUGUCAUGGCAGUUUAUUUGUAAUUUUUUGACACCCAUUCCCAUGCACUGUCAAUUAAUUGUACUGAUUAUAUUUAAUAUUUUCUCAAUUUAUUGUUUGAUGAUAUGCCUUUUUUUUAAAUCAUGCAAAAAUUAUCGGAGCAGUUGUAAGCUAAGUAACUGUUUACCAUGCUGACUUCUAUAAAUCCAACAAAUAUGCAUAUAAAUGAUUACAAUUAUAUUACUGUUACAUGAUUUUGAUUGAGGUAUACAUUGUAGAAUGUAAUGAUGUUGCAUGUAUGAAAUUAAUAUAGAUUGAAUAUUAACUUUUUCUUCUAUAAAAUAGCACAGCAUUAAUGCUUUGUACAUUCAAACUUUUGACUUGUACUCUGUUUUAUAGUUAGAAAAAAAAAUAUUUUAUUUGUUCUGUUUCACAAUUAGAAAAAAUAAUAAAUUACUGCCAACUAUAACAACUACAACUCAGUUAACGUUAAGAGUUGUUGCAGCUAUAUUAACUAUCAGACUUAAUUCUGAGAGUCAGAGAUGCCUUUAGAGUAUCAACCUUUUUCACAUUAAAGAUGGAUGGUAGCACCACUUUAAAAUGAUAAAAGUGUACGUGAAACUUUAAUAUCAUUAAAUUGGUUUUUACUUAAAAUAUUCACACUUUUCAUUGUAUUCAGUACUUUUGCUAUAUAUUUUUAAAAACAUAUUAGUAUAACUUAAUAUAUAAUUUUGUUUAUUCAAUAAUAAAAAUAUAGCAUUCUAAGCAAGCUAUAGGAUAAGUUUUUAAAAAGAGACAAUAUAUUGGAAUACUUUUGAACUGUUAAAAUCCCCUUUACUCUCAUGACUUGUAAUAUAAUGUGUCUUAGAAAUAAUUGAUAACCUAUAAAAGAGAUAAACUGCUAAUUUCAGAGCUUUCUUUUACUGGUUUAAUAUUAACUAAAAUUUCUUGCACUUAUAUAAAUAAUCAGAAAGUAAAGGGGCAAAUGUUCCAGUUUUGGUAAGGUUUCACCAGGAAUGGUAAAUGAAUGGCAUUCUGGAUUGCUAAGGUUCGUUAACACUGCCAGGUUGCUUACCUUUCCACUAUGGUGUUUGAAAAAGUAGUACUUCACAAGCAUGUAUCAUAAGAUGACUCAUUUCAAGUUAAAUGUUAGUGAAAUUUUCUGCUGCAAACAGAGAAACAACAUGGCAGUUAAUUUGUUGUUUUACUUUUUGUAUAAGUUUAGUUUUCAUUUAAUAAGUAUUGCACUAUUCUACUCACUGCACAUGUUCUAAUUCAGUUUCUAACUGACUUAUGUUUAUUGACUUUAUGCUAAUUCAUUUAAGUUAUAUGGAAAAUUAAACAUAUUUUAUAAGUAAUCAUUCAUUUUCAUUUUGAAAUGUAAAGCAUGAUGUUAUGCUUUUUUAUCUUAAAAAGUUGCACCAAUUUUUGAAGUUUGCUUUAUAGCUCAGUUUAAGUUUGAAAUUGAAUUACCUGCUUAUAUGCUUAUGAUUCUAAUAAACAUUUGUUGUUGA